rnacentral:tRNA from 1 species
GGCUACGAAGCUCAGCUGGUUAGAGCACAUCACUCGUAAUGAUGGGGUCACAGGUUCGAAUCCCGUCGUAGCCACCA